rnacentral:rRNA from 1 species
GUAGCUGGCCUUAUGAGGCAUGUGCACGCCCUGCUCAUCCACUCUACACCUGUGCACUUACUGUGGGUUUCAGAUCGUGAAGCGAGUUGUUUACCGGCUUGUGAAGCGUCUGUGCCCGCGUUUAUUACAAACACUUAUAAAGUAAUAGAACGUGUAUUGCGAUGUAACGCAUCUAUAUACAACUUUCAGCAACGGAUCUCUUGGCUCUCGCAUCGAUGAAGAACGCAGCGAAAUGCGAUAAGUAAUGUGAAUUGCAGAAUUCAGUGAAUCAUCGAAUCUUUGAACGCACCUUGCGCUCCUUGGUAUUCCGAGGAGCAUGCCUGUUUGAGUGUCAUGAAAUCUUCAACCUACAAGCCUUUGCGGGUUUGUUAGGCUUGGAUUUGGAGGCUUGUCGGCGAGUAAGUCGGCUCCUCUUAAAUGCAUUAGCUUGUUCCUUGCGGAUCGGCUGUCGGUGUGAUAAUUGUCAACGCCGCGACCGUGAAGCGUUUGGCGAGCUUCUAACCGUCUUGUUAGAGACAGAUUAUUGACCUCUGACCUCAAAUCAGGUAGGACUACCCGCUGAACUUAAGCAUAUCAAUAAGCGGAGGAAAAGAAACUAACAAGGAUUCCCCUAGUAACUGCGAGUGAAGCGGGAAAAGCUCAAAUUUAAAAUCUGGCGGUCUUUGGCCGUCCGAGUUGUAGUCUGGAGAAGUGUUUUCCGCGCUGGACCGUGUAUAAGUCUCUUGGAACAGAGCGUCAUAGAGGGUGAGAAUCCCGUCUUUGACACGGACUACCAGUGCUUUGUGAUGCGCUCUCAAAGAGUCGAGUUGUUUGGGAAUGCAGCUCAAAAUGGGUGGUGAAUUCCAUCUAAAGCUAAAUAUUGGCGAGAGACCGAUAGCGAACAAGUACCGUGAGGGAAAGAUGAAAAGCACUUUGGAAAGAGAGUUAAACAGUACGUGAAAUUGCUGAAAGGGAAACGCUUGAAGUCAGUCGCGUCGUCUGGAACUCAGCCUUGCUUUCGCUUGGUGCAUUUUCCGGAUGACGGGCCAGCAUCGAUUUUGACCGUCGGAAAAGGGCUGGGGUAAUGUGGCACCUCCCGGUGUGUUAUAGACCUUAGUCGCAUACCGCGGUUGGGAUCGAGGAACGCAGCGCGCCGCAAGGCAGGGGUUCGCCCACUUUCGCGCUUAGGAUGCUGGCGUAAUGGCUUUAAACGACCCGUCUUGAAACACGGACCAAGGAGUCUAACAUACCUGCGAGUGUUUGGGUGGAAAACCCGAGCGCGUAAUGAAAGUGAAAGUUGGGACCUCUGUCGUGGAGGGCACCGACGCCCGGACCUGACGUUCUCUGACGGAUCCGCGGUAGAGCAUGUAUGUUGGGACCCGAAAGAUGGUGAACUAUGCCUGAAUAGGGUGAAGCCAGAGGAAACUCUGGUGGAGGCUCGUAGCGAUUCUGAC